AUAUAAAAAUAAAAGUGCUUGUUGUUUAAGGUAAUUUAAUAAAAAUUUAUUCAAAUAUUCUUGUUGGAUUAAAAUAUUGGAUUAAAACUACUCUGGAGCACUUAUCUGCAGCAGUUAAUAUUUUUUUCAAGACAAAAACUACGUUAGUCGCAGUGUAAAAAGGAUCUGCUGGUCAAAAAGAUUCCUUUGUAUGCGGUG